GAUGAACGCUGGCGGCGUGCUUAACACAUGCAAGUCGAGCGAGAAGUUUUGAAAAGAUUCUUCGGAUGAAAUUUAAAAUGGAAAGCGGCGGACGGGUGAGUAACGCGUAGGCAACCUGCCCCAUACAAAGGGAUAGCAUUUGGAAACGAAUAUUAAUACCUUAUGAAACUUAACUAGUGCAUGCUAGGUAGGUCAAAGAUUUAUCGGUAUGGGAUGGGCCUGCGUCUGAUUAGCUAGUUGGCGAGGUAACGGCUCACCAAGGCGACGAUCAGUAGCCGACCUGAGAGGGUGAACGGCCACAUUGGAACUGAGACACGGUCCAAACUCCUACGGGAGGCAGCAGUGGGGAAUAUUGCACAAUGGGGGAAACCCUGAUGCAGCAACGCCGCGUGAACGAUGAAGGCCUUUGGGUCGUAAAGUUCUGUUCUAGGUGAUGAAAACUGACAGUAACCUAGGAGAAAGCCCCGGCUAACUCCGUG
rnacentral:rRNA from 1 species